ensembl:lncRNA
UCCUCAGCUCUUCCCAGGAGGGUGGCAUGGUUGCCCCUGUGGUGGUCCUCCUUGGCUCCUCGUACUCUGCGGCCUCUGAAUGUCUGGGGCCUGGAUCUCCUCCAUACCUGCUUUAUGCCCUGGGGGACGGGGCUAUGGCUCCCCACACUCCCUAGCAGAUUGUUACAUGGAGAAACCUUUUGAAUACAAGCAUGCUGAUCCACACAGGUGUACACACAGGUGUACACACAGGUGUACACACCGGUGUUCACAGACACAAACUACACAUUUCUUGGCUGCUAUCUCAAAGCACAUUGGGCGCUGCCGAUCUUGUGUGCUGCACAAUAACAUGUAAUAUUUAGCAUCUACUGUUAGCUAGUUUAUUGUGAUGGUGUUGUAUUUGUUAUGUUGCUCUUUCCUGUUUGUUUUCUCUUCUGUUUUUUUUUAUCUCCAUACAGUUGAUCCAGGUGUUUUGUGUGUUUUCUUUUUUUUCUCAUCUCCCCUCUAUUUUUCUUUCUCUCCCUCUCUUUCUUUCAUUCUUUCUCCCUGUCCUAUCCCCCAGUCAUAUCUGUCCCAUCUGUAACAACUGAAAAUAAAAUAAAAUAAAUACAUAAUUAUAAUAAAGGUCAAUCAAAUGGACCAAUAUGGCAAGGCCAUGAUGAUCCACUUGGUAAAGUAAAUCCGCUUGGCAUCUUUCUUGGCCUUCAGACAACAAUUCUGACGGCUAAAGAUCCAAACGCGACAGGCACAAAAAAAAAAAAAAAAAACUAAUAGAGAAAGCAGAUCAAGGAUUAUUGGUUAAUCAUUAACCAAUAAUCCUUGAUCUGCUUCCAGUAGGAGAGAAGCUGCAGAGAGGUGUGUAAGACUGCAACUGUGCUUCCUGGUCCCAACUCUGGAUAGUCAUAUUUUGGGGGGUUUAAUAAAUUUGUCCAUAUUCCUAGAAAUGGUAAAUGGUAAAUGGACUGGUUCUUAUAUAGCGCUUUUCUACUCUUCUGAGCACUCAAAGCGCUUUACACAACUUGUGCAUUCACCCAUUCACACCCAUUCGCACAAGCACAUUGUUCUAGGUGCUUUCUAAGUAACAUUCACACACAUUCAUACUCCGAUGGAUGCAUCGGAGAGCAAUUUGGGGUUAAUAUCUUGCCCAAGGAUAUUUGGCAUGCAGACUGGGGGAAGCCAGGAAUCGAACCACCAAUCUUCCGAUCAGCAGAUGACCUGCUCUACCGCCUGAGCUACAGC